GAUGAACGCUGGCGGCGUGCCUAAUACAUGCAAGUCGAGCGAACGGACGAGAAGCUUGCUUCUCUGAUGUUAGCGGCGGACGGGUGAGUAACACGUGGAUAACCUAUCUAUAAGACUGGGAUAACUUCGGGAAACCGGAGCUAAUACCGGAUAAUAUUUUGAACCGCAUGGUUCAAAAGUGAAAGACGGUCUUGCUGUCACUUAUAGAUGGAUCCGCGCUGCAUUAGCUAGUUGGUAAGGUAACGGCUUACCAAGGCAACGAUGCAUAGCCGACCUGAGAGGGUGAUCGGCCACACUGGAACUGAGACACGGUCCAGACUCCUACGGGAGGCAGCAGUAGGGGAUCUUCCGCAAUGGGCGAAAGCCUGACGGAGCAACGCCGCGUGAGUGAUGAAGGUCUUCGGAUCGUAAAACUCUGUUAUUAGGGAAGAACAUAUGUGUAAGUAACUGUGCACAUCUUGACGGUACCUAAUCAGAAAGCCACGGCUAACUACGUG
rnacentral:rRNA from 1 species